UCAUAUGCUUGUCUCAAAGAUUAAGCCAUGCAUGUCUAAGUACGUGCCUAAGAAAGGUGAAACCGCGAAUGGCUCAUUAAAUCAGUUAUGGUUCCUUAGAUCGUACCUUACUACUUGGAUAACUGUGGUAAUUCUAGAGCUAAUACAUGCAGCAGAGCUCCGACCUUCGGGGACGAGCGCUUUUAUUAGACCAAGACCAAUCGGACUUCGGUCCGAAGCUCAUGGUGACUCUGGAUAACUUUGGGCUGAUCGCACGGUCUCGUACCGGCGACGCAUCUUUCAAGUGUCUGCCUUAUCAACUUUCGAUGGUAGGUUAUGCGCCUACCAUGGUCGUAACGGGUAACGGGGAAUCAGGGUUCGAUUCCGGAGAGGGAGCCUGAGAAACGGCUACCACAUCCAANNNNNNNNNNNNNNNNNNNNNNNNNNNNAGGAUCUAUUGGAGGGCAAGUCUGGUGCCAGCAGCUGCGGUAAUUCCAGCUCCAAUAGCGUAUAUUAAAGUUGUUGCGGUUAAAAAGCUCGUAGUUGGAUCUCAGUUCCAGACGGGUGGUCCACCCCUGGUGGUUACUGCCUGGCCUGAACAAAUCCAGCCGGUUUUCCUUGAUGCUCUUCACCGAGUGUCUUGGGUGACCGGCACGUUUACUUUGAAAAAAUUAGAGUGCUCAAAGCAGGCGUAACGCCUGAAUAAUGGUGCAUGGAAUAAUGGAAUAGGACCUCGGUUCUAUUUUGUUGGUUUUCGGAACACGAGGUAAUGAUUAAGAGGGACAGACGGGGGCAUUCGUAUUGCGACGCUAGAGGUGAAAUUCUUGGACCGUCGCAAGACGAACUACU
rnacentral:rRNA from 1 species